UCUGGUUGAUCCUGCCAGUAGUCAUAUGCUUGUCUCAAAGAUUAAGCCAUGCAUGUCUAAGUAUAAAUAGUAUACAGUGAAACUGCGAAUGGCUCAUUAAAACAGUUAUAGUUUAUUUGAUAAUUGACAAUUACAUGGAUAACCGUGGUAAUUCUAGAGCUAAUACAUGCUUAAACGCCCGACUUUAUGGAAGGGUGGUAUUUAUUAGACUGAAGCCAAUAUUCCUUGUGUCUAUUGCGGUGAUUCAUAAUAACUGAUCGAAUCUCUUUUUGAGAUAAAUCAUUCAAGUUUCUGCCCUAUCAGCUUUCGAUGGUAGUGUAUUGGACUACCAUGGCAGUAACGGGUAACGAAGAAUUAGGGUUCGAUUUCGGAGAGGGAGCAUGAGAAACGGCUACCACAUCUAAGGAAGGCAGCAGGCGCGUAAAUUACCCAAUCCUGACUCAGGGAGGUAGUGACAAGAAAUAGCAAACCGGGAACCUCAUGGUUUCACGGUAUUGCAAUGAGAACAAUUUAAAACCCUUAGCGAGAAUCAAGUGGAGGACAAGUCUGGUGCCAGCACCCGCGGUAAUUCCAGCUCCACUAGCGUAUAUUAAAGUUGUUGCAGUUAAAAAGCUCGUAGUUGAACCUCUGUCUGGGGCUAGUUUUGGCUUUGGUCAGGCUAGUUCUAGGCAUCCGCCUACAAGACUUAGAGGGCAUUCAGUUGUUCACUAGGAGGAGUAGGCAUUUUACUUUGAAAAAAUUAGAGUGUUUAAGGCAGGCGGUCGCCCGCAUAUAUUAGCAUGGAAUAAUAGAAUAGGACACUUUUCCAUUUCGUUGGUUAUUGGAAUCGUGUAAUGAUUAAUAGGGACAGUUGUGGGCAUUUGUAUUUAAUUGUCAGAGGUGAAAUUCUUGGAUUUAUUAAAGACAAACUAACGCGAAAGCAUUUGCCAAGGAUGUUUUCAUUAAUCAAGAACUAAAGUUAGGGGAUCAAAGACGAUCAGAUACCGUCCUAGUCUUAACUAUAAACUAUUCCGACUCAAUGUUUGACUGGCUUAUAUAACCAGUUGAGCGUUGUAUGAGAAAUCAAAGUCUUUAGGUUCUGGGGGGAGUAUGGUUGCAAAGCUGAAACUUAAAGGAAUUGACGGAAGAGCACAACCAGGAGUGGAUUCUGCGGCUUAAUUUGACUCAACACGGGGAAACUUACCAGGUUAAAACAAUAGUGGGAUUGACAGUUUGAGAGCGCUUUCUUGAUUGGUUGGGUGGUGGUGCAUGGCCGUUCUUAGUUGGUGGAGUGAUUUGUCUGCUUAAUUGCGUUAACGAACGAGACCUUAACC
rnacentral:rRNA from 1 species